CUACUCUCUUCCCUUUUCCCUACUGACUGACAUUUCUGCAAUAAACAUGGCCAGUGUCAUAACCCACGGUUUGUGGAAUAAAAGAGAAUUGUUUCUGUUUAAAGUAAUCUCAGAUUAGGAACAGGAACAAAAGUUGUGUGUGUUAGAUGUUCACCUGAGACACCUUGAUUAUGAGGACACCUUUUCUCACCAUUCCCCUCCCCCACCUACAUGUUGAUCAUACAGCAAACUGUGCUGUGUGUGUCAGAUGUUCACCUGACACACCUGAAUUAUGAGGACACCUUUUCUGACAAAGCCCCUUAUACAUUUCUUCACAUAUUAGGAUGCACAAGUUGGUUAUGUGUUACAUUAAAGAUUGUUAAAGAUUUCCAUGUUCAUAGAGGUUAUGGAACAUCAACAAAAGAUUUCAUUAAAUUCAUGACUUUCAAGGUGUAGAAAUGACUGGUACAGUAAUCUCUCACCUUCAAGUCUUUAUUAUAGGCUGAUUACUACUCUCUUCCCUUUUCCGUACUGACUGACAUUUCUGCAAUAAACAUGGCCAGUGUCAUAACCCACGGUUUGUGGAAUAAAAGAGAAUUGUUUCUGCUUAAAGUAAUCUCAGAUUUGUUCCUGUCAUUGACUCUUACACAGGAAGCCUCUGGUGGAACUGAUGACCAAAUGACAAGGGUCCGUUCCAACCUGGAAAUAUCAAAGGAUGACACUGAAGCCUCUGGUGGAACUGAUGACCAAAUGACAAGGGUCCGUUCCAACCUGGAAAUAUCAAAGGAUGACACUGUAAGUUGUAUACUAUAUACUUGUGAUGUCAUGCUUUUACAUCCAAUCAUAAUUCUGUUGUUUGAGGAUAUGACAGUGCUCAGGAGUCCACACACUAUCGAAUGUUGUUAACUACCUGACACAGCACAGGACUGUGAGGACACAUUGUCCUGCGUGGACAGAAACAAACUUCUUGAUCAGGCAGCAAACUGAGUUGUUUGUGUUAGAUGUUGACCUGACACCCAUUAGACACAACACAAUUCCAUGACUUUCACAAAAGAUUUCAUUAAAUUCAUGACUUUCAAGGCGUAGAAAUGACUGGUACAGUAAUCUCUCACCUUCAAGUCUUUAUUAUAGGCUGAUUACUACUCUCUUCCCUUUUCCGUACUGACUGACAUUUCUGCAAUAAACAUGGCCAGUGUCAUAACCCACGGUUUGUGGAAUAAAAGAGAAUUGUUUCUGCUUAAAGUAAUCUCAGAUUUGUUCCUGUCAUUGACUCUUACACAGGAAGCCUCUGGUGGAACUGAUGACCAAAUGACAAGGGUCCGUUCCAAUCUGGAAAUAUCAAAGGAUGACACUGUAAGUUGUAUACUAUAUACUUGUGAUGUCAUGCUUGUACAUCCAAUCAUAAUUCUGUUGUGUUUGAGGAUAUGACAGUGCUCAGGAGUCCACACACUGUUGAAUGUUGU
ensembl:lncRNA